GGACUACCGGGGUAUCUAAUCCUGUUUGAUCCCCUUGCUUUCGCGCCUCAGCGUCAGGAAUAAGCUAGAAAACCGCCUUCGCCACCGAUGUUCUUCCACAUAUCUACGCAUUUCACCGCUACUUGUGGAAUUCCGUUUUCUCCGCCUACCCUCUAGUUCUAUAGUUUCGGGUGCUAUUCCAGGGUUGAGCCCUGGGAUUUCACAACCGACUUAUAGAUCCGCCUACGCGCCCUAUACGCCCAAUAAUUCCGAUUAAUGCUUGCACCCUACGUAUUACCGCGGCUGCUGGCAC
rnacentral:rRNA from 1 species